rnacentral:rRNA from 1 species
CCUACGGGUGGCAGCAGUGGGGAAUUUUGGACAAUGGGCGCAAGCCUGAUCCAGCUAUUCCGCGUGUAGGAAGAAGGCUUUCGGGUUGUAAACUUCUUUUCUCAGGGACGAAGCAAGUGACGGUACCUGAGGAAUAAGCCACGGCUAACUACGUGCCAGCAGCCGCGGUAAUACGUAGGUGGCAAGCGUUAUCCGGAUUUACUGGGUGUAAAGGGCGUGUAGGCGGGACUGCAAGUCAGAUGUGAAAACCAUGGGCUCAACCUAUGGCCUGCAUUUGAAACUGUAGUUCUUGAGUACUGGAGAGGCAGACGGAAUUCCUAGUGUAGCGGUGAAAUGCGUAGAUAUUAGGAGGAACACCAGUGGCGAAGGCGGUCUGCUGGACAGCAACUGACGCUGAGGCGCGAAAGCGUGGGGAGCAAACAGGAUUAGAUACCCCUGUAGUC